GUACGGGAGGCAGCAGUAAGGGAUAUUGCGCAAUGGGCGAAAGCCUGACGCAGCAACGCCGCGUGGAGGAUGACGGCCUUCGGGUUGUAAACUCCUUUUCGGGCUGACGAGGAAGGACGGUAAGCCCGGAAGAAGUCACGGCUAACUACGUGCCAGCAGCCGCGGUAAAACGUAGGUGGCAAGCGUUAUCCGGAUUUACUGGGCGUAAAGCGUGUGCAGGCGGUGUUCCAAGUGGUGUAUGAAAUCGCCCGGCUUAACCGGGCGGGGUUAUGCCAGACUGGGAGACUAGAGGACGGGAGAGGGGCGUGGAAUUCCGGGUGUAGUGGUGAAAUGCGUAGAGAUCCGGAGGAACCCCAGCGGCGAAGGCGGCGCCCUGGCCCGUCCCUGACGCUCAGACACGACAGCAUGGGGAGCGAACGGGAUUAGAUACCCUGGUAGC
rnacentral:rRNA from 1 species